AACGUAGGAGACAAACGUUAUCCGGAGUUACUGGGCGUAAAGGGCGUGUAGGUGGUUUCGUAAGUCUGGCGUGAAAUAUCUCGGCUUAACCGAGGCAGGUCGUCGGAUACUGCGGAACUAGAGGACGGUAGAGGCGUGUGGAAUUCCGGGUGUAGUGGUGAAAUGCGUAGAGAUCCGGAGGAACACCAGUGGCGAAGGCGACACGCUGGGCCGUACCUGACACUGAUGCGCGAAAGCAUGGGGAGCAAACAGG
rnacentral:rRNA from 1 species